rnacentral:misc_RNA from 1 species
UCUAGGGCUGAUACAUCCAUGCUUGCUGGGAGCAAGAAUGCUGGGAAGCACAGUAUUUCCAUGGUUGUUGAGUGGUCCAUCAUCUCUUAGAACUGAGGAUUGCCUAGUGUACGCGUUUAUUGUACUAGGGUUCACCUUGUCAAUUGUGGCUUAUGAUUAUCAGGAAAUUGCAAUUCUAGUAUCACUGUUCUGCUUAUUCCAUGCUGUUGUAGGCCUGAUAAUACCUUCACUUGCAAGAUUGAGGACCAUGCAUGUGCCAAAUGAGUUGCGUGGAGGAAUGAUAAGCCUUUCUCUAGCUCCUGCAAAUGCAGCUAUUCUGUUUUGGCUGAUGCAAAGAGGCUAUUAUCAGAAAAUUGAGAAUUCAACUAUGAUGGCGUUUGCUGCUCUUGGGCUUUUCUUAGCAGCUGGUUGCAUGCAUUUGUUGAAGCAAUGGGGAAAGCAACCAUACCAGAACUGGCACGAGUUAUGAUUUCGACAACUCCAUUAUACACCAAGCUCAGCGCUACAAUUGAUAUCAUCUUAACUUAGAUGGUAAUUGAGGUGAAGGAGGAAAUUGUGUGCCCUCGAGACAUAGAGAGGCAGGCAAGAAGGUCCAAUGUCAUAUAUAUUGCCAGUUAAGGGAGGGUGCAGCCAUUCCAAGCUGAAUACACAUUAUGAGCUAGCCGAGAGCAACUUACAUUGGAGAUUUUUUAUUCAAUGUUCAUUCAUGCAAAGUGUACUUAGCGCAGUUGAAUCUUGGAUUUUUCAGCUCCC